GCUCUUUGGUAGGGUAGGAUAUAUUUGGCUAAGUGACUAAAAGAUACAGCUUAAUGUAGCAUAAUCACCAACCUUAUAACAUUCUUACUCAACUCUAUCCUCCACCUUCCAUAAAACCAGUUUUUUCAAUACGAGAACCAUCACAACUCAUCAAUUAUUCCUCAUAACAUUAUGUCUCUCUAGUGCAUCCUAUGUACCCUUUUUUUUCCAAUUCUUUUCUCUUUCUUUUUUUUUUUUUUUCAACGACUUGUAGGGUACUAGGAUUUUCAAUUUAAAACCACAAAGCAUAACUCAUGAACAUUCAUCUCCACAAACCAACUAUUCCAUGUUAACAAUUUUCAAGCUCCCACCCAUAGCUAAAUCAAAUAAUAUGGAAAAAUAAGGCUCAAAAGGGGUGAACUAGGAUCAUAUAAAGAUAUAGGACAAAUAUGGGAUAAAUAGGCUAGCAAAGAUGGCCUUCUAUCAUCUCAAAGUUAUUA
rnacentral:lncRNA from 1 species